AGGGCCCUACGGGGCGCAGCAGUGGGGGAUAUUGCACAAUGGGGGAAACCCUGAUGCAGCGACGCCGCGUGAGUGAAGAAGUAUUUCGGUAUGUAAAGCUCUAUCAGCAGGGAAGAAAAUGACAGUACCUGAGUAAGAAGCCCCGGCUAACUACGUGCCAGCAGCCGCGGUAAUACGUAGGGGGCAAGCGUUAUCCGGAUUUACUGGGUGUAAAGGGAGCGUAGACGGUGAGACAAGUCUGAAGUGAAAGCCUGGGGCUCAACCCCGGGACUGCUUUGGAAACUGCCUGACUGGAGUGCUGGAGA
rnacentral:rRNA from 1 species